rnacentral:lncRNA from 10 species
UAAAUAGAGAAAAAAAAAUCAGAAGUAAUUCCAUUCAGUUAUACAGUCACUAGGUACAUCUCUUUUCCUAUUAUACAGAGAUAUUUAAGUUUAUUUUUUCUCUCAUAUAGUGCUGGAUCUCUUCCACAUCAAGUUAUUAUAAGAAAUAAAUAACUACAAUUUGUAUAAAUUUAUUGCUUUGUACAUCAAAUGUGAAUGUGCAAUUUAAUGAAGCUUUCAGAUUGUCUAGAUCUUGUCUUAUAUUUUAAUUUUAUUUAACAACAGUAAUUUGUCAGACAACUAGGCUGAACAAAGACAAUGGAGAGCUGUUGUACUAAGAGUAUGGCUUUGAAUUAAACUACAAUAAAUAGAUAGAUAAAUAAAUAAAUAAGUAAAAAGUUUUACCAUGUUAAUGGAUGUUUUCCUUGGUACAAAUUGAUAUAUUAUUUAAAGAAAAUUUAUUUUCACAGUUGUUAUCUGUCUUCUAAAAGCCUCACAAAAUAUUUUACCAGUAUAAUUUCUCUCUUAGGGUAUUGGUAACUCUAAUUAUUGUCCAUUUUACAUUCAAAAUUUUGAAAUGGUGAAAAACAUGAUACAUGAUGAGAAGCAUUUCUGACAAGAGAAGGUGUGCUGGCUGGCUUCAAAGACACUUCAUCUUAGAACAAUAAAGAUGUCCAUAAAUGAAUUAUAAAUUGCAUCACAAAAAGCAUCAGAAUAAUUUUUAAGCUUAAAAAAUGCAUUUUACUUAUAAGAAUAUGUGCACCCAAAGAGCUUUUGAACCCAGAAGAGGCAUAAAGUUAUAUGAGCCAGAGCUGUCAUUUUACUGAAACCCUUGGGGUUACGCUGGGCCAACUUCUAUGUAAGAAUUGUGGCAGAGCAAAUGAGUGAUUUGCAGUGGCAAAGAGUAAGAAAGAUAUUAAUUGUUACAUGUGUAUCAUGCAAAGUUUUCUAAUAUAUAAUGGUAUAAAGAUCAUUUACAUUUAGUACAAUUGAAUUUUUGUAAUAGGGAUAUUUCAUUUUCAUAAUUAUUAAUUUCCAGUAUUUUAAAUAAAAUGGUGAACAAAAUUUCUAGAAAAAUGAUCAGAGAGACAAGCAGCAUUUGACAGAUGAAGAUAUGUGAAUAGCCUCAAACCUGUGGACAAAUGUUCAACUUAUCAGAAACAAAAUACAUAUGUUAAUAAAAUAGAAUAGUAACAAAACACAGAUUGGCCUAUCUUAUUGGUAAACACUGAGAAGAAAUACAGAAAAUAAAGUUGACAUGAUAUGAGGAAAUUCACUAAAAACGGUGUUUUGGAACAAAGAGUGCUGCAAAUUUUGUAGGGAAAUAUUGAUAAUUUAUACUAAGAUAAAGCAAAUAUUUUCAAGAAAAUUCUAAUUAUGAUGGAAAUAAAGCAGCUACAAAGUUCAAAAUGGAAGAUCAACAGAAUUUGAUAUACAAUAUAAAUAAGUCAACUAAUUGAACUUAAAUGCAUUUACAAGGAAAUGUGUUGAUUUUUAAGGGGGAGGGAUAGCAUUUGGAGAUAUACCUAAUGUUAAAUGACCAGUUACUGCGUGCAGCACACCAACUUGGCACAUGUAUACAUAUGUAACUAACCUGCACGUUGUGCACAUGUACCCUAAAACUUAAAGUAUAAUAAAAAUAAAUAAAUUUAAAAAAAACAAAUAU